rnacentral:snRNA from 1 species
AUAUUUACCUGGAUCAUGAAGGUGCUUUUCCCACGGUGAGGCUCAUCCAUUGCACUCUGAGUGUGCUGCCCCUGUGAUUUCCCCAAAUGCGGGAAAUUUGUGGUAGUGGGGGACUGCGGUUGUGCUUAAAUAAA